rnacentral:rRNA from 1 species
GACGAACGCUGGCGGCGUGCUUAACACAUGCAAGUCGAACGGAAAGGCCCUGCUUUUGUGGGGUGCUCGAGUGGCGAACGGGUGAGUAACACGUGAGUAACCUGCCCUUGACUUUGGGAUAACUUCAGGAAACUGGGGCUAAUACCGGAUAGGAGCUCCUGCUGCAUGGUGGGGGUUGGAAAGUUUCGGCGGUUGGGGAUGGACUCGCGGCUUAUCAGCUUGUUGGUGGGGUAGUGGCUUACCAAGGCUUUGACGGGUAGCCGGCCUGAGAGGGUGACCGGCCACAUUGGGACUGAGGUACGGCCCAGACUUCUACGGGAGGCAGCAGUGGGGAAUAUUGCACAAUGGGCGGAAGCCUGAUGCAGCAACGCCGCGUGCGGGAUGACGGCCUUCGGGUUGUAAACCGCUUUCGCCUGUGACGAAGCGUGAGUGACGGUAAUGGGUAAAGAAGCACCGGCUAACUACGUG